UCUUAAUGUUACAAUGUGUAAAAAUACUGGCCUACAUAUUGAAUAUAUAUGACAUAACAGAUUCAACAUCUAGCACGGUCACAAGUCCACAUGACUGAAUGGGAUGCACCCAAGGGUUCAGAAUGAGCUGGCAGAAGUGAUUGCCAAGCUUUUUUACAUCAUCUAUCAGUGAUCCUAGUAAACCAGGGAGAUCACCAUGAGUGGAGAGCUGCCAAUGUAAUGUCCAUUCUACAAAUACUAGACCCAGCUAGUAAGUUAAUGCUGCUUUGACACAUGGAAAACUGGCAUUGCCAGAGCUGGCUGGAGUUUGUUUAUACCAUGUUUCACCAAGCAGUGUAAAUACAUCUGUUUUUAGUGGACAGAAGCGUGAAACACUUUCAGGUAUGCUCAGUGCUACUGUGAGAAGUCAAUGGCAGUACACAAUGUAGAUUUCGUUGGGCAUACACAUGACAGCCCUGUGGUCUCUGCACUACUUAGUGACACGUCUGUUAAUGCGCACCAGAAUUGACAUUACAGGGGUUGUAACUCUCUGUGUAAAUCAUCAGAGGAUUAUUUCCCCUUCUGAGUAAUAAGAUAGCAGGAAGGGAAUUCAUUUUUCCCCAAAUUAUUAUUUCUUGACACUUUUUCCCAGGUCCUCAUUUUUUAAGGAAAUACAGCCCAGAUUGACUCUUUGCAAUUUGCUAUUUUAGAUGGCCUCUGGAUAACUAGUUAAAUAAGAACGUAUUUACUGCAGUUCUCAUGGCUGUGUGUCCAAAUGUGUCUAAUGAAGCUGAAUCAGUGUCCUGGCAUAGGUGUUGGAAGACAGAAAGAGUUCACUCAGCAGCAGAGAUAUAUGUAAGGCACGAAGACAAGAAAGGAAAGUUUGGAAAAAGAAAGGAAAACAAAACAUUACAUGGAUUUCAUUCUUAUCAGCAUUUAAUUUUAUGAAAAAAAAAAAAAAAAAAAAAAAGACUUUGUAUUCAUGCUCUCUUUUCAAUUUUGAACUCUUAUGAUCUUCCAUUAAAU
rnacentral:lncRNA from 1 species